rnacentral:rRNA from 1 species
AUUGAACGCUGGCGGCAGGCCUAACACAUGCAAGUCGAGCGAGCGGCGGAAGGGUGAGUAAUGUCUGGGAAACUGCCUGAUGGAGGGGGAUAACUACUGGAAACGGUAGCUAAUACCGCAUACCAUCAGAUGUGCCCAGAUGGGAUGUGCUAGUAGGUGGGGUAACGGCUCACCUCGGCGACGAUCCCUAGCUGGUCUGAGAGGAUGACCAGACACACUGGAACUGAGACACGUGCCAUACUCCUACGGGAGGCAGCGGUGGGGACUAUUGCACAAUGGGCGCAAGCCUGAUGCAGCCAUGCCGCGUGUGGGAAGAAGGCCUUCGGGUUGUAAAGCACUUUCAGCGGGGAGGCGUUACCCGCAGAAGAAGCACCGGCUAACUCCGUGCCAGCAGCCGCGGUAAUAC